rnacentral:rRNA from 1 species
GGCGAACGCUGGCGGCGUGCUUAACACAUGCAAGUCGAACGGAAAGGCCCUGCUUGCAGGGUACUCGAGUGGCGAACGGGUGAGUAACACGUGGGUGAUCUGCCCUGCACUUCGGGAUAAGCCUGGGAAACUGGGUCUAAUACCGGAUAGGAGCCAUUUUUAGUGUGAUGGUUGGAAAGUUUUUUCGGUGUAGGAUGAGCUCGCGGCCUAUCAGCUUGUUGGUGGGGUAAUGGCCUACCAAGGCGGCGACGGGUAGCCGGCCUGAGAGGGUGGACGGCCACAUUGGGACUGAGAUACGGCCCAGACUCCUACGGGAGGCAGCAGUGGGGAAUAUUGCACAAUGGGCGCAAGCCUGAUGCAGCGACGCCGCGUGGGGGAUGACGGCCUUCGGGUUGUAAACUCCUUUCGCUAGGGACGAAGCUUUUUGUGACGGCACCUAGAUAAGAAGCACCGGCUAACUACGU